CGCAUUUAAGGGAAGAGCUGCAGGCGGGGCCUGAAUGAGUCCCUGGAGGUAGCAGGGUCACGCUGUUGGCCUGCAGGCAAAUAAAUAGUCGCGAGCUGGCGGGAGACUGGUUUGGGUGACGUUUAAUGAGUUUUGGCGGGUUCUGAGGAAAGGUGGACUUACAGGAAGUGCCCACAAAGGGUAGAAGAAGUUGUGGGAUUCCCUGGAAUUGGAACUACUGGCAGUUUGUGUGCACCAUGUGGAUGCUGGGAUCGAAUGGCCAAUGCUCUUAACUACUGAGGUAUCCAUAUAGUCCCUACUUUUUUCUUUUAGAAACAUUUCUAGUCUUUGAGAAUUUCAUAGAUGUAUGCAAUAUAUUUUCAUUAUCUCCACUCCCUAUUCCCUCCAACUCGUCCUAGACCCUUCCUACCACAUUCCCCUUCCAAUUUCAUAUUCUCUUUAAAACAAAAGACCAAAUCAAAACCAAACAAACAAAAACCUCACUGAGACCACUUAAGCAUUUAAUAAUUUAAAAAGCACAAGAGUGCCUAUAGACCAGCAAGUAUUAUGGUACUAAUCUAUAAGGAAGGCAGGAUAUCUUGUGGCUCGCGCUCUCUCUCUCUCUCUCUCUCUCUCUCUCUCUCUCUCUCUCUCUCUCUCUUUGUGUGUGUGUGUGUGUAUUACACACAUAGUUUGGUUUUCACCCUCCAAAGGGCACAUAAAAAUGUUUAAACAGAGACAAAUUUUAAGAAAAUCAUCUUAAAUGAAUUUCUGCUUGAUACCUUGUCCCCCAAACCAAAACCAAAACCAAAAUUUCGUGCUACAUAUAUUUAAAAUUCAAUUUGGUGUGCUUAAAACAGGUAUUAGGGAGCUAUAAAAUAUUAGUUAAUCUUUAUUAAGGAGAACAGUUUGGAUGGACUAGCGUUGAGUCUGUGUUAAGUCUAUUAACUUGUAUUUCGUGUAUUUUUUUUUUACUUAAAAGAUUCUUUUAGGUUAUCAAAAUGACUUACUGGUUAAAAGGUUCAGGCUAGCAAGUCUUGACAGCCUGAGUUCAAUCUGUGGGGUGGCUUGUAGAUUACUGCUGUUCCCUGACAUAGAGAAAGCACACUUCUUUCUUACAAUGGGAGGUAGUUACUAUAGAACAUUCAUAACUUGUCGAACUGCAAGGAAUGUUUCUGUUGCUGUGGUAUAGCUGCUCAAGGUGGUAGAAAAGAAUAAUCACUUAUAUUAUUCUAAGUCUUGGAGAACACUGUAGAAGAUGGGAUGGAAAGAAUGUGAAAGCUGCAGAAAGGGAGCGUUGUCUCACUUCUUACACUGUGUUGGGCAUAACCAUUGCUGUUUUGAAUAAGAGCAGAUGUGAUCACUUUAUGAGAUCAGGCCUAUUAACAGUUCCUCAUGGAAGUAGAAGGGAGGCUUAUGUGGCUCGUGCUUUCAAAAUCCACAUGAAACCCUCAUGAGACUCAG
ensembl:lncRNA